UAAGCCUGUUUAUAUAUCUAAAGAGGAGCCAAUCAGUCGUUCCCAUUGACAAUUGAAAAGCCUAUAUACCCGUUUCCCUUCAUGAACGGGCAUUAAUAUACGCCGCGCAAAUAAAUCAGAAAAAAAAAAUGUGCCAAGUCAACAAUAACAAAACUGGUAAACGCCGUGCCAAAUUGCAAAUUGUGGACCGUUUUGCAGAACUGCAAAAGCCGUAAACCCCAUUUGUAUCCAACUCGGAUCGACCGAGUGCUAAUUUCCGGCGUGGAGUGGGCGUGACCGGCGAGCUGAGCUGAUCAGGGCACAAAUGUCGCCGGCAAGGGGCAACGUACGCUUAAUUGAUUUGGUGUAAAUCAUGGAAAAUUUUGCCCACUUACCGCGCUGGACUUUUCCUUUGGCACACUUGGACUCGAAUCUGCUGAGGUAGCCGCAAGACUUGUCUAAUCGCCCCGUGUGUGGUCACCAAUAACAGCACCCGUCAAAUUAAUUGCGACGCGCUGCGGGAGAACUUACACUUGAAACACUUAAACUUAUCACAGGCACAUAAUGCAAUUGCAUUUCGAUAAGCACAUUGGCUAAAUAUUGCACUCAACACGCGAAAUUGACGUUAUUUGGCUAAGUACGGCAUAUACAACACUUUUAAUUUGAUUUUACAAAGCGCAACUAAACAAAUUACUUUUUACGCGUCAACAACUUUUGGCGGCAAUAAGCUGUUGUUGCUGUUGUUGUUGUUGCCAGCCGUUCUAAAUUUUGGCGCAGGGUCGCUUUGUUGUCGCGUGGUCGGUCACACCGCCCACGCAACAAAUGGGCAACCUUGGCUCCGAUCAACUGUGUCACGUGCGCCAAUUUGAGUCAGAUUAACAGUUAGAUUAAUUGAAAAGUGAAAACUCUAUAGAGAUUUAAUAAAUGUGUAUUUUUCAAUAGUGUGGACUGCGUUAAACGCACAACUGUUGUGCAAAUUGCAAUUUUCAUGCCAUUGUCUGCAUACCAGCAGUGCCAGUCAGCGUGUCGUCUGGUUCUGCUGCUGAUUCUGCUCGUCGUGCCGGUGGCUGUGCGGCAAUUGGUGCCGCCAAAAAAUAUUAGUUCCAGUUGCGCACAAAUGAAAUUGAAAUUUCAUAAACAAGAUUCGACUGUGCAGCUCCACUAUAUGUACAUAUGUACUUCAUGGCGCUCCCAUUUAAGCAGACUCCAGACUGAGGCACUGAGGCACUGAGAUUAAAAAAACAACAACAACAACAAUUGGAAUGCGGGCAACGCAGUUGUCACGUUUUGCUCUGGCAAAUGACCCCAUCCCAGGGGAGGAGGCGCGGCGCAAACGCCCUCGCAAUAUCACUCGACAGCCUUUAAGAGAGCGCUGUUCAUAAUAAUAAUACAGCAGGAUUUCUCAGCUGAUGUAAGUCUUUUGUUUUAUCUUUAAAAUAUAUAACUCUGUGUUUUU